rnacentral:rRNA from 1 species
UUAAGUCCCGCAACGAGCGCAACCCUCAUUGUUAGUUACUACCAUUCAGUUGAGGACUCUAAUGAGACUGCCAACGACAAGUUGGAGGAAGGUGGGGAUGACGUCAAAUCAUCAUGCCCUUUAUGACCUGGGCUACAAACGUACUACAAUGGCCAAUACAAAGAGAUGCGAAGCGGUGACGUGAAGCGAACCUACAGAAAGUUGGUCUCAGUUCAGAUUGAAGUCUGCAACUCGACUUCAUGAAGGCGGAAUCGCUAGUAAUCGCGGGUCAGCAUACUGCGGUCGAAUACGUUCCCGGGCCUU